GUGGUUUUUAUUUUUAAGGGAGACCCCCUUAGAUUUUUGAUAAACGUAUCAUGUGAUUUAUCAAACAACUGUUUAAAUGAUGGACCAAACAAUUGAAAAACAAGUGGUUUAUCUUUUUUUAUUACUAAAAAACAAUGAAGCAAACAGGAAUGAACAUUGGGUCACAGGAAUGAGCGCUGAGUAACAGGAAUGAGCACUGAGUAACAGGAAUGAGCGCUGAGUAACAGGAAUGAGCACUGAGUAACAGGAAUGAGCGCUGAGUAACAGGAAUGAGCGCUGAGUAACAGGAAUGAGCGCUGAGUAACAGGAAUGAACAUUGGGUCACAGGAAUGAGCACUGAGUAACAGGAAUGAGCGCUGAGUAACAGGAAUGAGCGCUGAGUAACAGGAAUGAGCACUGAGUAACAGGAAUGAGCGCUGAGUAACAGGAAUGAGCGCUGAGUAACAGGAAUGAGCGCUGAGUAACAGGAAUGAGCGCUGAGUAACAGGAAUGAGCACUGAGUAACAGAAAUGAGCACUGAGUAACAGGAAUGAACAUUGGGUCACAGGAAUGAGCACUGAGUAACAGGAAUGAGCACUGAGUAACAGGAAUGAGCGCUGAGUAACAGGAAUGAGCACUGAGUAACAGGAAUGAGCACUGAGUAACAGGAAUGAACAUUGGGUCACCGGAAUGAGCACUGAGUAACAGGAAUGAGCGCUGAGUAACAGGAAUGAGCGCUGAGUAACAGGAAUGAGCACUGAGUAACAGGAAUGAGCACUGAGUAACAGGAAUGAGCACUGAGUAACAGGAAUGAGCACUGAGUAACAGGAAUGAGCACUGAGUAACAGGAAUGAGUACUGAGUAACAGGAAUGAGUACUGAGUAACAGGAAUGAGCACUGAGUAACAGGAAUGAGCACUGAGUAACAGGAAUGAGUGCUGAGUAACAGGAAUGAGUGCUGAGUAACAGGAAUGAGUGCUGAGUAAAAGGAAUGAGCGCUGAGUAACAGGAAUGAGUGCUUGUGUGAGGGAGAAUAACUGGAUGUCACAGAACUUCCUUCAAUUAAACAAAGAUAAAACAGAGGUCAUUAUAUUUGGCAAAAAAUAUCUUAGUGUAAAUAGCAACAUAAAAGCUGUAACAAUUGUGUGUAUGUAUGUGCGCUUGUGUGUGCGGGUGCAGCAUGUGUGUCAGGCUCCUGCCUCUGCACAGUAUGGGUUCUCCAUAUUCCUCUCAAAAGGCAAGAAAGACAACAAAUACAAAAAGCUGAGCAUAUUAAGCAAAUCCUCAGAGCUCUACAUUGACUACCAGUAUCUAAUAUUAACUUAUAGUAUUUUAUGCACAUAAAACAACAUUCACUUGCAAACACGACAUACAAUUGUAUUUCAUACAGAAUUUCAAUAAAAUAAUGAACAAAAACUUGCCUUUUCUAAGAAACGGUCUCUGGUUUGGCCCAGACUUUGUUGUCAAUUUCCAUGUAACGAGCUGCGACUUGCCUCACUGGUGGAAUGGUACACAGGAGGUCUUGAAACAGGUACCAAAGGAUGUCUUCCAAUGUGCCGCCAUUGGGGUCAUUCUUGUGCUCCUUAUCCACAGUUGCCCACUGGACAUAAGUCACUUCAUUCUUAUCAUUGUAUUGGCCAGAGACGGGACGAGAGGUCCUUGCACACCGCAUAGUCUCCAUACAUGCACUUCAUGCACUCCGUUUUGCAUGUGACGGAUUUUAGAAGUUCAUCAGGUUUGAAAGUGCUGAUUAUCUUCAGGUGGUGCAGUUUCUGUACGAUAAAACUGAGAUUUUCAUGCAGUUGCACAUGCAAGUCUCCUGGUCACUUAGAGUUGGGUGAACAACCCAAAAGGGGCUCAGUGAGCAGAAGAGGGAGUAUGAGAAACCCAUCAUGUUCUGCCAAAAUCUUCACAUGUAGAUUUUUCAUUGUGUCUAAAAGGAACCUCUUCUGAUUUUUGAUUUUCUUCUGGGUGAGGCGUCUGCCUCUUCCCAGUCGUUAAUCAACUGACAUCAUCCAUGGUGUAAAAAUCUCAGACUUUGUUUUUGAAGCCAUCUACCACCCUACUGUUUCUCUUCCUUUCUUAGUUUAAGUUAAGUUCUGCAUUCUUCGCAUUCAUCAGCCACCUUUUAUUUGACAACCCAAAUGAACUUUGGGAGAGAAGUUGCAGCCUAUAUUUUUUUGUUUUCCUGUCACUAUCUUUGAGAUGAGUUGCCUUUCCCUUUAUCCCCAUGAGUCUGUCGGAUGUCCUCCACUAAGGUGUCAUGGAAGAGAAGGGUCUUUUGCAUUGUAGCGUGUGGUAGUGAUCUCAUUUGUUUGUCAACUUUUGUACAUGGAGAUGGAUAAUUCUGUUUCAUACGCAUACGUCUGCCU
ensembl:lncRNA